GCAGGCCUAACACAUGCAAGUCCGAGGGGCAUCGGGCAUUGAAGCUUGCUUCAAUUGCCGGCGACCGGCGCACGGGUGCGUAACGCGUAUGUAACCUACCUAUAACAGGGGCAUAACACUGAGAAAUUGGUACUAAUUCCCCAUAAUAUUCGGAGAGGCAUCUCUCCGGGUUGAAAACUCCGGUGGUUAUAGAUGGACAUGCGUUGUAUUAGCUAGUUGGUGAGGUAACGGCUCACCAAGGCAACGAUACAUAGGGGGACUGAGAGGUUAACCCCCCACACUGGUACUGAGACACGGACCAGACUCCUACGGGAGGCAGCAGUGAGGAAUAUUGGUCAAUGGACGCAAGUCUGAACCAGCCAUGCCGCGUGCAGGAAGACGGCUCUAUGAGUUGUAAACUGCUUUUGUACGAGGGUAAACUCACCUACGUGUAGGUGACUGAAAGUAUCGUACGAAUAAGGAUCGGCUAACUCCGUGCCAGCAGCCGCGGUAAUACGGAGGAUUCAAGCGUUAUCCGGAUUUAUUGGGUUUAAAGGGUGCGUAGGCGGUUUGAUAAGUUAGAGGUGAAAUCCCGGGGCUUAACUCCGGAACUGCCUCUAAUACUGUUAGACUAGAGAGUAGUUGCGGUAGGCGGAAUGUAUGGUGUAGCGGUGAAAUGCUUAGAGAUCAUACAGAACACCGAUUGCGAAGGCAGCUUACCAAACUA
rnacentral:rRNA from 1 species